AGAGUUUGAUCCUGGCUCAAGAUGAACGCUGGCGGCGCGCCUAACACAUGCAAGUCGAACGGCACCCCUCUCCGGAGGGAAGCGAGUGGCGAACGGCUGAGUAACACGUGGAGAACCUGCCCCCUCCCCCGGGAUAGCCGCCCGAAAGGACGGGUAAUACCGGAUACCCCGGGGCGCCGCAUGGCACCCCGGCUAAAGCCCCGACGGGAGGGGAUGGCUCCGCGGCCCAUCAGGUAGACGGCGGGGUGACGGCCCACCGUGCCGACAACGGGUAGCCGGGUUGAGAGACCGACCGGCCAGAUUGGGACUGAGACACGGCCCAGACUCCUACGGGAGGCAGCAGUGGGGAAUCUUGCGCAAUGGGGGGAACCCUGACGCAGCGACGCCGCGUGCGGGACGGAGGCCUUCGGGUCGUAAACCGCUUUCAGCAGGGAAGAGUCAAGACUGUACCUGCAGAAGAAGCCCCGGCUAACUACGUGCCAGCAGCCGCGGUAAUACGUAGGGGGCGAGCGUUAUCCGGAUUCAUUGGGCGUAAAGCGCGCGUAGGCGGCCCGGCAGGCCGGGGGUCGAAGCGGGGGGCUCAACCCCCCGAAGCCCCCGGAACCUCCGCGGCUUGGGUCCGGUAGGGGAGGGUGGAACACCCGGUGUAGCGGUGGAAUGCGCAGAUAUCGGGUGGAACACCGGUGGCGAAGGCGGCCCUCUGGGCCGAGACCGACGCUGAGGCGCGAAAGCUGGGGGAGCGAACAGGAUUAGAUACCCUGGUAGUCCCAGCCGUAAACG
rnacentral:rRNA from 1 species